rnacentral:lncRNA from 1 species
AUUUAUGUAACGGACUCUGUGAGAUCAGAGACAAGGAGUAAAAUGCCUGAGCUCAAGUGACAACAAGCAACCCCAGACUAGAGACAGGAUCCUUCUCCCCACUUCGAGCAGAUCCCAGCAUGAAUCCUGCAGUAUGGUGAUGGCAAAAGUCAGUGCAGGACCACUGGGACUCCUGGAGCUUCUCACAUCUCUGAGAGCACCAGCAGCAGAAAACAUCGCCCAUUUCAUCUGUUUCUUCAGUCCCCAGAUAGCAGAUGACUGGUAGGAAGAUGAGGCAAGUUUGCGGUCCAUUGUCAUGGAUAGUGGAGACAACACUGGGCCAGAAGUGGUAAGACCUGAAUCCAAGACUCAGCUCUGCCACUUGCUAAAUGGGACUUUGAAUAAACCAUUUCUCUGCACUUAAGUUCCUUACCAACAAAACGAGGGAAGUGGCCUACAUGCCUAGAUAUCAACAUUUCAUGUCACGUAGAGAUCUAGCAUCACAAGAAUCCAAGUCAUCCUCUGUUGCCUUUAAGAAAUUAGAAUUAAAGGAAUCAGAAUUGAAGUGAAUCUGACUACACUAAGCCUAUCACUUGUGACAGCCAUGGGAAGAUAUCAUUGGUUGCUGAGGAGCAGAAAUAAGCAGAGACCUAUUGUGUUAGGUUAUCAUUCAUUUCAGACAAAAAGCAGAUCAGCAAGUUUUCAUAUUGCACUAUUUUCAAUGGCUGGAGCAUCAACAUUUUACAACAAGAAAAAAAUUAAAAUUCUUCAACAUUUGGAAAAGAAGUGUUUGUAAAACUUUUCACAUCCAUUCACCAUCCGGAAAAGCAAGGUUUUACAGUGAGGCCUGAUGAUGUCUAGAGUCACCAUGCAUCUUGGAAAAUGACCUCCUAUUUAUUUCUUCUACAGGACACCAUGGUGUUCACCUUUCUACAACUUUACACUUGCUGAGGACAUAUUGUGGAAAAUUAAGAGAAAUAUAUAUGGAUGGCCAAGGCUGUAGAUGGAUGUCCAAGCCUUUUUACUGGGGAAUGUUUUCAGAACAAAAUGAGUUACAGGUUCAAGAGUGAAACCCAACAAAUCUUGGCUCUUUUUUUCUCUACUAAAUUCCAAAUCAAAAGUAUUUAUGGAGUGCUUUUAAUGUGCCACGCACUGGGCUAGAGAUUCAUAAUUUUGAUGGGAAUCUGUGUAUUCAAACUCUUUUAACGUGGAAACCUUGCUUGUGCAAGGUCCUCCCAGAUCUUAUCCUACUUUAUCAAAGCUUGGCUAAAUGCAACAUGUCUUCUCCCCAGUGCCCUGGGUCUCUGUACACGCAGUAAAGUGGUCCUUAGACAUAUGCUGAAAUAGGGCUUAAUUUUCCCCAUAUACGAAUGAGAUAAAUUCUACUACAUGUAGCCAGACUUCGAUAGGGAGAACACCCAAAGUCACUUAAAAUAAAACUACACUUUCAUUUUUGCAAGCCAAAUAAUCCUGGAGGAAAUUGUGCUAAUUUUUUUUUCAAAUUUUCAGUUUACACAUUGGAGUUUUGACUUCAAUAUGUAAAAAGUGCAUGAAAAUGAAUGUAGUGCAUCUUUCCUCAUAUGCUCUGCAGUGAUGCGAACUGACUGCAUGGCUAGCUGGUCACCUGAUAAAGGGCACACAGAGAUUCUUGUAGUUCAUUAGGGAUUACUCCGAGGUUGAACACAGGUUUUUCUUUUUCUCAGAUAUAUAGGUAAGACUUGAACUUCAAUUUCCUGCAUAGUGAAUAUGGUUUCUAUUGUCAUGAUUGAGCUUUUUUCAUUUUAAACACUGAGAGCUUCUUUUGAGUUUGUGGGACCCACGCUUUUGGGCAAAGACUGCUUUCUCAAGGCACAUAUGUUCAGAUGUUCAGGUCAUGAUGCAGAGGUAUCAGCUGGGAGGUGCCCCAGGUAAGUUUGCUACUAAACUUCACCCACCCUCAUCUGAGAGGCCACGUCUCUUCCCCUGAGUCUGGGGAUCAUGACACUUUAUAUGUCAGCUACUUUCUUUUUUCGUUUUAUUUUAUUUUAUUUUUGAGAUGGAGUCUCACUCUGUCUCUCAGGCUGGAGUGCAGUGGCACAAUUUUGGCUCACUGCAACCUCUGCCUCCCAGGUUCAAGUGAUUCUUCUAACUCAGCCUCCCAAGUAGCUGGGAUUAUAGGUGCACGCCACCACACCCAGCAAAUUUUUGUAUUUUUUUUUUUUUAGUAGAGACAAGGUUCUGCCAUGUUGGCCAGGCUGGUCUCGAACUCCUGCCCUCAGGUGAUCCGCUCGCCUCGGCCUCCCAAAGUGCUGGGAUUACAGGUGUGAGCCACUGCACCCGGCCACAUCAGCUACUAUUUAAUGAACAUCUUUCCCUGGACAAGAACAAAACUCAAAGAAAUCCAACAGAUUGCAACUUAGUCCUGGGGAGAGAAAAGUCCACAUGUUAAGCAGAAAGCUGAACCACAUAGAAUUCAACCUUUGGUGCCGCUAGUGUUGACAAGGAAGGAUAGAUUCUCUGAGCUAGAGUAAUAAAGAAAGAGAAAUGAGAAACUAGUAUAUCUCCAAAGGUUCUCAAAGUAUUAUUCCUGGACCAGUAGCAUCAACAUUCCCUGAAAAUAUGUUGGAAUUAAAGAUCUCAGCCUCCACCCAGACUUACUGAAUCAGAAAUUCUGGAGCAGGGUCCACUAAUCCUUGUUUUAGUCUUCUGGGUGAUUCUGAUACACACUCAAGUUUGAGACCCUCUGUCUAGCUACACCAUGCUCUUUUUACUUCAACUCAUUAUCCCCACAACAUGAUGCCAUAAUAUAGGAGAUUACAUAGUGUCAGGCUUUGCUUAACUUAGGCUAAGUCUUUAGAUAGAUACAAAGAGGUCAUUCAAUUAGUGGUACCUAUUGGAUAGGGCUCUUAUACCAUCCAUUUUGUUCCGGCAGUUCUUAGCUCAGUUCCUGGGACACAAUAAAUGAUUAACAAAUAGAUAACUAGUUAUUGAAUGAGUGUGGAUUGAUGAAGUUUGAGUAUACACACACACACACACACACAGACACACACAAUGUGAGCCAUACAAGAGAAUGAACGGGAAAGCAAAUUUCUUCUUGAAUACUCAUAAAAUCAGCUUUUAAUACCAAAUAUUAUUUCUUUAGGCCAUAUCCCACUGGAGCCUGAAUUGCUACAAUAGCAUUCUGGAGAUUUUCCUCCUUUCUAGUAUUGGCCUAUCCUAAUGUAUUACAUAACUAGCUUUCUGGAAAAUAUUCCUCAAGGAUCACUUGCUUGCAUAACUUACUUUAGAAAUUCUUCAGUGUUUGAGUGUGUAGUUCUUUCUGUGCUGUGUGCCCAUUGUAUCUUGUGAAUUCCUGUCUACUAAGGUAAAUAUCUGUCCACAUGUCUCAUUCCUUCACUAAACUAAGAAAUCACUGUAAAGAAAAAUGUAUUAGUCUGUUCUCACACUGGUGAUAGAGACAUACCCAUGACCAGGCAAUUUACAAAAGAAAGAGGUUUACUGGACUUACAGUUCCACAUGGCUGGAGAGACCUCACAAUCAUGGCAGAAGGUGAAAGUCACGUCUCACAUGGCAGCAGACAAGAGAAGAGAGCUUGUGCAGGGAAACUCCCCUUUUUAAAACGAUGAGAUCUCAUGAGACUUAUUCACUAUCAUGAGAACAGCAUGGGAAAGACCUGUACCCAUGAUUCAAUUACCUUUUACUGGGUCCCUCCCACAACAGGUGGGAAUUUAAGAUGAGAUUUGAGUGGGGACACAGCCAAACCAUAUCAAAAAAUAAUUUAUUAAUUACCUUGUAUGAUUCUUUUUCCUAUUCCUGGGAUUUAGCACUGUUCCUAAAAUGACUUAUAAAAAUAUUUCAUGUGUAUUUAUGUAUAAGUACCACACACUAACAGAUUGCCCCACUGGAGCACCCAAUUUGUGUUUAUUUAAUCCGUGAAAACGAUUAGUUCCUGGCCAUGAAGUUUAUGCUCCUCCCAUAAUUUUAUGCCAGUUUUUCAGCCUUGUGAAUUUCCUCUUUUAUCCAUCACCUCAAUUAUUGUUUUUACAGGUGGAGUCUCACUAUGAUGCCCAGGCUGUACUUGAACUUCUAGGCUCAAGUGACCUUCCCACUUGAGCCUCUGGUAGCUGAGACUACUGGGGUGUGCCACCUUGCCUGGCUUCUCCUCUCACCUUUAGCUCAACAAGUCCUCUUGGAGUCCUCCUCUUACUCAAGCAGUGCUCAAGCCACCACUGGGUCAUACUUUACAUACCUUAGGGUGGCACUGUAUUUGAGGGUUCACAUUUAAAUGUGCCAAAUGCAUGCAAAGCCUGGUUUACAUUUAGGAGCUUUAUAUUUUUUUUGGCUUAAGGUCUGGUCUAUCUGGUCUAUAUGAAAAAUAGACUUCUUGAGCAGCCCCACCCUUUCUCACUUACAAACUUGUUCAUAAUUGGGCUUUAAAUAAAUAAAUAUUUACUUACUUAUUUACUUAAUGAGGUUGACAGCUUGGUGAGAUGUUUGACAAUGAUAAUUUCAAUAAUUUCUGUCAUUUUUAGUUCCAAGAGGAACCAUCACCCAGUUGAAACUGUGAACCUCUCUCACAAAGUCUAAGUAGCCCUUGAUUCAAGCUAUGGGCACCAGUCUCCACAUAAUCUACUCAGAAGCACUGUAGUGUGGAAAUUGGCAAUGUCUGCCUUCUCCAAAUCAUUCAAUAGAGUUUCAGCUUUUCUCAGGCAUUCUGCAUAUUUAUAAAAGUUAGCUCGAUGCAGUAUUCCAAUAAAACCACCAAUUAUAUGCCUUUCAAAGGAUGUCAUCUUCUGAAAGCGUUCCACAUGGCUAUAAUCUUAUUACCUCUGGUUGAAGUAGUCACAGACCAAACUAAACGGUGAGUAGAGAUUGGUUAUAGGGAUUAUUUUUCCCAUCAGAGUCAGUGUAAGUGACUGCCCUCUCCCUUGUGGUAUGUUUCAGUCCUGACUUGACUAGUGAAGCCACUCCUACAGAUUUCAAACUCUUUGCCAGGGUAGGAAAACACAGGUUGGCUUCACUUCAUCCUCAGCCUCCUAACUUCCUUUUAAGUAACCAUGAGAUAUAUUUAGGAACUGCUGGUUUCUGAGCUAAUACCCAUGAGGCACCAAGGCAAAAAAAAAAAAAAAAGGCAAGUUAAACACACUAAAACUGCUGGCCAUCUCUUAACCAUUCAUUGCACAUGUAAAUUUCACUUGCAUUUUUUCUUUUGCAUUUGCUGGUACUAUUUUCACUUUUAUAUCCUAAAUUCGUGUGGUAAGAGGUCCUUUUAAAGCAUAAGGCAAAGUAGCAUAGGGUGGAAAGUUACAGAUUUUAGAGAAAGGUAGACAUGGCUUUGCAAACUAGCUCUAUUACUUAUUACAUCAAGAAUCCCAGAGAAGUUUCUUCUCUAAUCUUCCUAAAUGUUCUUAUGUGUAUAUUAAGGGUAAUGAUUCCUAUCUUACAGUAUUAAUGCGAAUUCACUGAAGAUUCAUUCAUUCCCCAAAUGUUUAUGUGCCCUUACAGGAACUGGACCAAGGGAAGAGGACACAGAAGGUAAAAGGAAGCCAGACCAGCAUGUUCUCCCACUCUAGUGCUCCUACCAAGAGGCUUUGAUAAGCAAUCACAAUUGUCCCCAGUGACAUGAAAGAAAAAGUGAAGCACCCUGUAGGGAUGCAUAGCAUGACAUCUACGUAGACUUGGGUCAUGGAAGGAAACUGUCACCACAUACAAGUUCAAGGGAAAUGUUCAGCCUCCAGGCCGCUGAAUGAAGCUCUGCCCAGGCCUUAGGAAAAGGUGAAACCCCAACUAGCAGGGGCCCCAGUUCACCAUAUCCAGGAAGGUGUCCUUGAACCAGAAAUACCCACGUUGUACUCCGACAUGAACAAGAAAUAGAUUUCUAUUAUAUUAAGCAACAGAAAUUUUCAGAUAUAUCAGUUCUCGCAGCAGGAAGGAUGUAUUGAUAAUGGCAACAUGGAUGGAGCUCAAAACAUCACAUUUAAUGAAAAAAGAGACUUACAUAAAAAAAUUAUAGACUAUAUUAUUACAUUCAAAUGAAGUUCAAGAACAAGCAAAAGUUGUGGAAAAAUAUCAGAAAACUUGCUUCUGCUGGAGGGGUAGGAUGGGAUUUGACUGGGAAGAGGCCUAGGGGAACAUGCUGGAAUGAUAUUAAUGUUCUAUUUCUUGAUGGAGGUUUGGGUUCCACAGGUGUAUGUAUUUGCUAAAAGUUAGCAAAUGUAGAGUUAAGGUUUGUGUUCUUCCUUGUGCAAUACAUUUUACACCAAAGGAAAGGCUGUAAACAAAUAUUGAACUGUAGUUAAUCAUAUGUAUGGAGAAAAACUUAAGGAAAAGACUUAUGAAUGCCUCAAGUUUAUUUAAAAAAGCAUUAAAAAUAAGAUUAAACAGGUAUUUAUGGAUAAACUACUGAAACUGAGAGAUAUUAACAGUAAAUAGUCAAAAUGUUCACUGUAAGAAUGAAAUUGAAAGGGAUUUGAACCCAGGUCUGUUUCACUGUAAAUCCUUGCUCCUGUGCUCUCUCAUGUUUAUUGGAAUUCAUGGGUAGAAAAUUUAAAUGCUCUGAAUCACUAUGAGAAGAAAGAUUCAGGAAAAAAAAAUGAAAGGCUAGAUUUCCAAAGAUAAGCCAGGUAAAUAUCAUGGAGAGUUGCAACAAUGUACUGCUAAUUAACUCUAAUACUUAGAGCUAAUGUCGAGUUUUCUGAGGGUUGUGACAUUCAUACAUGACUAAUUAACCUACACAGCAAAUCCAUUUCACUAGCUGCCAUGACACAGCCAAUCAAGACUAGCUCACUGUUUGCUCAUUUGGAAAAUGAUGAGGAUUCCCAUUUAGACUUAAUUACACUACAAAGAUUGACAAUUAUCUUCUCUAUAGAAGCAUCAGAUGUUUCGAUAUUAUACUGAACAUGUGCCUAUAAUUAUGUCCAUAAUUUGUCUAGCAGAAAAUGUAACCCAGUCAUUACUGAGAUCUUAUGCCUGUAAUUAGAUAUCAAAAAAAAAAUACCAAAUGGGAAAAGUGGGUUGUUGGGAUGUUAGGACCAUUACAAUGUGAGAAUCUGUAUGAAGCUAUUAGUGGGAACUCAGUAGCAACCAACAUCUCUUGGAUUGCUGCCCUCUAUUAAAAAUAAUCAGGAAGUGUGAGAGAGGGGAAAAUGAUGGCAGAGUAAAACCAUAGUACAAUCGCUUUUCCAAUACUUGACUGCAGUCAUUAAAAAUCCCAUAGGCACCUCAAAUUCAACACAUUUGAAACCGACUCAUUAGCCACCUUUGCCCCACUAUAGCUACUCCUUUUCCUGUGUUUGCUUUCUUAGACGAUUGCAAAGCAUUGUAGAGUCAUCUGCAACAAUUGUUCUCUCACUCCUUUCUCCUAAUCAAACCUCCGUGAUUCUGAUUACUAAUUUUUUCUAAGUGUGUUGCUCCUCUCUAUGCUGUGACUCUUCCAUUGUCUGCCUUCAUCAUCCUUGUAUGGUCAAUUUCAAGAGCACGUAUAAGAACGGUGCUGCAUCUGAAUGUUCACUCAUAAGUGGGAGUUGAACAAUGAGAACACAUGGACACAGGGAGGGGAACAUCACACGCUGGGGCCAAGCGGAGGGAGAGCAUUAGGACAAAUACCUAAUGCAUGUGGGGCUUAAAACCUAGAUGAUGGGUUGAUGGGUACAGCAAACCACUAUGGCACAUGUAUACCUAUCUAACAAGCCUGCAUGUUCUGCACGUGUAUUCCAGAACUUAAAGUAUAAUAAUAAUAAAAGAAGAAUGGUGCCGCUUUCCUCAAAUGUCUCCACCGUGUCACUUAUCUUCUGAAUUUCUCCCAGUAUGAUCAUCUCUAAUCACGAAUCUCAUUAUGCCACUCUGCCAUUCAGAAGAGUUGAGUGUGUCCACCUCUUUCCUAACAGCAUUUGGCAGAACACAGAAAGUAUGUUUUGUUUUUCAUUGAAUUUUGUGCCAGCUUCACGCUGGCCUGCCCCAGUCUGUAAUUUAGGCUAGCUCCAUUAUAUGGUUUACUAAUUAUGUAAUGUGACAUGCUCAUUAUUUCAGUUAUCUCUUGCAGGACAACUGGCUACCCCAAAAUUUAAUAGCUAAAAGCAAUCAUUUUUAUUUUGCUAAUGAUUUUUUGGGGUAAGGAAUGUAGAAACGGCUCCAAAGGGUGGUCGUUUCUGAUCAAUAUUGCAUCAGCUGGGGUGGAAGAAUCUUCUUCAAAAUAGCUUCUUUACUCACAUCUGGUGCCUUAGGGCUUCUUGACCUCUCUCUCUCUUCAUGUGGCUUCUCAUCCUCCAGGCUUUCUUCACUUGGCUUACCUUCUUGCAGCAAGGGUAUCUAAAAGAAGUCUCACUUUUUACACGGAAGCUAGAUUCCAAGAGGCAGGCAGUAGAAACUGCGCAGCUAGCUAAAGGCUAUAACAGAAAAAGGCAUGGCAACACUUCUACCAUAGUCUAUUAGUGAAGGCAGUUCCCAAGACCCUCAGAUUUAAGAGCACAGAGAAAUAGAUCCCAAUUCUAGAUGGGAAAAUGUCCAGGUCACGUUGAAGAAGAGCACAUAGGGCAAGAGACACUGUUGCACCUGUAUUUGCAAAAGUAAAUCUAUAUGCAUGCUAUUUCAUUCUUCUAAAAUACUGAGUGGCUGUAGCUCUCAACGCUAAUCGCUCUGUCUAUCCUACUCAAAUGCACUUCGGAGCAAUUGCUCAACUUUGCACAUUCUCUACGCAACCUCUCUCCAAAAUGCCCCUACAAUACUUAGUGUAAUCUCUUUUAUGUUAGAGUGGAACACCAUUGUCUAUUUACUGACAUAUUUAUCUCUCCCGCCAGAAUAUAAGGAUAAGCUCAUGUCUUAUUUACUUUAGAAUACCUUUUGUGUAACACAGAUGCUGGCAUAUAGUAGAUAUUAAAUACAUGUUCUAUUGAUCACAAGACUAAUAAAAGGAAUAAAUAAAUUGUCCUAUUCAUACAUGUAUUAUCUAUGCCUGGGGUACUUCCUGGAACAAGUUUAGUACCUGGUGAUUAUCAGCUUCCAAGAUGGCCCCCAAUAGUCUCCACCUCCUGAAUUCACACUCUUUGUAGUUCCUUCCUGCAUUGUGCCAGAGUUGGUCAAUGUGACCAACAGGAUAUAGUAGAAGGGAUGGUAUUAUGCUAUAAAAGACGUUCAAUUUUUAUCUCUUUCUCUCUCAUAAUUCACCCUGAGAGAAACCAGCUGCCUUGUUGCAAGCAGUCCUACGGAGAGGCCCACAUAGUGAGAAACUGAGGCCUUCUGCCAACAGCCAGAGGAGGGAGCUUGCAAGCAGACCCUCCAGCCCCAGCUAAGCUUCAGGUGACUGUCCAGGCAACGGCUGGAGUAAAACCUCACAAGACGUCCAGAGCUAGAGCCACCCAGCUCAGCUGCUCCCAGAUUUCUGACUCUCAGAAACCAUGUGAGAUAAUAAAUGCUUGCUGUUUUAAGCUGCUAAAUUUUGAAGUAGUUUUUUACACAGCAAGAGAUAAUUAUUUUAUUUACUAAUACAUAUUCGUGAAUGCCAUCCAACAUAGAAAGAAUGAAGCAGUUCCAUUCUUCUUCUUGGAUUUUUAGCUAAAGUAUUUUGUUGUUACUACGACAGACACCUGGGUGGUAAUUGCUAUUUCAAGCUGGACACCUGGGCUUUUUCUCCACUACAAAGAACCUCUCAGUUACUCCCAGAGAAAGUAAUGAUUUCACUUCUUGGAGUAAGUGUUUGUGCUAAUUAGCAGCAUGACGAAAUACAGCAUGUCAAGCAAAAAACUAUUUGUGCUUACCUUCCAACACAUUCUCUUACAGAGAGGACAUGAUGCCAGAGAAAUAAACAUUAAACUACUGUACACUAUCAGACUUUGCAAUGUAGCCUUACUUCACUAGCUUUGUAUUUCAAUCCCUAAUUACUAAACUGAUAAGAUUUCUGAUUAUUUUGGUUGAAAGAAAAAGCCCUCCUUUUGUCUCAACAAAAUUAGAACAUGAAAGAAAAAAAUAAAUACAUGAAAUUACCUAGAGAAUAUAUUAUUUAUAUCUGCUUCUAAGAAAUUCAGCAGGGGAUUUUUAAAAUGCUGGAUUAGUAAUUUUAUAAUCUUUUAUAUUCAAAUAUACUUCCAUGAAAUGUUAGC